rnacentral:rRNA from 1 species
UGUUACUUAUAAGUAAAAAAUUUUGGAAUAGUAGUAAUAAAUGAAAUUUAACGGAUUUGGCGGCAAGAUAGCCAUUUAGAGGAACCUGCCCUAUAAACGAUGAGCCACGAAAAACUCUACUUUUAUUAGUAAUUCAGUUUGUAUACCGCUGUUGUCAGUUAGUUUCAUUAGAAAACUUUCGUGCAUGAAAAAGUCACAGACUUCAAGUAAAGGUGCAGCUUAUAUAAGAGAUAGAGGUGGGUUACAUUUAUAAGAAUAAGACGGAUAAAGUUUUUGAAAAAUCUUUUGAAGGUGGAUUUAAUUGUAAAGUUCAAUAAAACUUGAUGGGAGCUCUGUCUUGU